rnacentral:rRNA from 1 species
UUCCUACGGGGGGCAGCAGUGGGGAAUAUUGCGCAAUGGGCGAAAGCCUGACGCAGCGACGCCGCGUGAGGGAUGAAGGUCUUCGGAUCGUAAACCUCUGUCAGCAGGGAAGAACGGUCACUGUGCUAAUCAGCAGUGAAUUGACGGUACCUGCAAAGGAAGCCACGGCUAACUACGUGCCAGCAGCCGCGGUAAUACGUAGGUGGCAAGCGUUGUCCGGAUUUACUGGGUGUAAAGGGCGUGCAGCCGGGAAGACAAGUCAGAUGUGAAAUCCCGCGGCUCAACCGCGGAACUGCAUUUGAAAC